rnacentral:rRNA from 1 species
GAUGAACGCUGGCGGCGUGCCUAAUACAUGCAAGUCGAGCGAACGGACGAGAAGCUUGCUUCUCUGAUGUUAGCGGCGGACGGGUGAGUAACACGUGGAUAACCUACCUAUAAGACUGGGAUAACUUCGGGAAACCGUAGCUAAUACCGGAUAAUAUUUUGAACCGCAUGGUUCAAAAGUGAAAGACGGUCUUGCUGUCACUUAUAGAUGGAUCCGCGCUGCAUUAGCUAGUUGGUAAGGUAACGGCUUACCAAGGCAACGAUGCAUAGCCGACCUGAGAGGGUGAUCGGCCACACUGGAACUGAGACACGGUCCAGACUCCUACGGGAGGCAGCAGUAGGGAAUCUUCCGCAAUGGGCGAAAGCCUGACGGAGCAACGCCGCGUGAGUGAUGAGGGUCUUCGGAUCGUAAAACUCUGUUAUUAGGGAAGAACAUAUGUGUAAGUAACUGUGCACAUCUUGACGGUGCCUAAUCAGAAAGCCACGGCUAACUACGUG